rnacentral:rRNA from 1 species
GACGAACGCUGGCGGCGUGCUUAACACAUGCAAGUCGAACGAUGAAGCCUAGCUUGCUGGGUGGAUUAGUGGCGAACGGGUGAGUAACACGUGAGUAACCUGCCCCUUACUCUGGGAUAAGCGCUGGAAACGGCGUCUAAUACUGGAUAUUACCUUUCCUCGCAUGGUGUUUGGUGGAAAGAUUUUUCGGUUUGGGAUGGACUCGCGGCCUAUCAGCUUGAUGGUGAGGUAGUGGCUCACCAUGGCGACGACGGGUAGCCGGCCUGAGAGGGUGACCGGCCACACUGGGACUGAGACACGGCCCAGACUCCUACGGGAGGCAGCAGUGGGGAAUAUUGCACAAUGGGCGCAAGCCUGAUGCAGCAACGCCGCGUGAGGGAUGACGGCCUUCGGGUUGUAAACCUCUUUUAGUAGGGAAGAAGCGUAAGUGACGGUACCUACAGAAAAAGCACCGGCUAACUACGUG